rnacentral:rRNA from 1 species
AGUGAACGCUGGCGGCAGGCCUAACACAUGCAAGUCGAACGGCAGCACAGGAGAGCUUGCUCUCUGGGUGGCGAGUGGCGGACGGGUGAGGAAUACAUCGGAAUCUACCUUGUCGUGGGGGAUAACGUAGGGAAACUUACGCUAAUACCGCAUGCGACCUCCGGGUGAAAGCAGGGGACCUUCGGGCCUUGCGCGAUAAGAUGAGCCGAUGUCGGAUUAGCUAGUUGGCGGGGUAAAGGCCCACCAAGGCGACGAUCCGUAGCUGGUCUGAGAGGAUGAUCAGCCACACUGGAACUGAGACACGGUACAGACUCCUACGGGAGGCAGCAGUGGGGAAUAUUGGACAAUGGGCGCAAGCCUGAUCCAGCCAUGCCGCGUGGGUGAAGAAGGCCUUCGGGUUGUAAAGCCCUUUUGUUGGGAAAGAAAAGCAGUCGGCUAAUACCCGAUUGUUCUGACGGUACCCAAAGAAUAAGCACCGGCUAACUUCGUGCCAGCCGCCGCGGUAAUAC